rnacentral:rRNA from 1 species
UGGGGAAUUUUGGACAAUGGGCGCAAGCCUGAUCCAGCCAUGCCGCGUGUCUGAAGAAGGCCUUCGGGUUGUAAAGGACUUUUGUCAGGGAAGAAAAGGCUGUUGCUAAUACCGACAGUUGAUGACGGUACCUGAAGAAUAAGCACCGGCUAACUACGUGCCAGCAGCCGCGGUAAUACGUAGGGUGCGAGCGUUAAUCGGAAUUACUGGGCGUAAAGCGAGCGCAGACGGUUACUUAAGCAGGAUGUGAAAUCCCCGGGCUCAACCUGGGAACUGCGUUCUGAACUGGGUGACUAGGGUGUGUCAGAGGGAGGUAGAAUUCCACGUGUAGCAGUGAAAUGCGUAGAGAUGUGGAGGAAUACCGAUGGCGAAGGCAGCCUCCUGGGAUAACACUGACGUUCAUGCUCGAAAGCGUGGGUAGCAAACAGGAUUAGAUACCCUGGUAGUCCACGCCCUAAACGAUGUCAAUUAGCUGUUGGGCAACUUGAUUGCUUAGUAGCGUAGCUAACGCGUGAAAUUGACCGCCUGGGGAGUACGGUCGCAAGAUUA